AACGAACGCUGGCGGCAGGCUUAACACAUGCAAGUCGAACGCCCCCUUCGGGGGGAGUGGCAGACGGGUGAGUAACGCGUGGGAACGUGCCCUUCAGUUCGGGAUAACCCAGGGAAACUUGGGCUAAUACCGGAUACGUGCGAGAGCAGAAAGAUUAAUCGCUGAAGGAUCGGCCCGCGUCUGAUUAGCUGGUUGGUGAGGUAAUGGCUCACCAAGGCGACGAUCAGUAGCUGGUCUGAGAGGAUGAUCAGUCACAUUGGGACUGAGACACGGCCCAAACUCCUACGGGAGGCAGCAAUGGGGAAUAUUGGACAAUGGGCGCAAGCCUGAUCCAGCCAUGCCGCGUGAGUGAUGACGGCCCUAGGGUUGUAAAGCUCUUUCGCAGGUGAAGAUAAUGACGGUAACCUGAGAAGAAGCCCCGGCUAACUUCGUGCCAGCCGCCGCGGUAACAC
rnacentral:rRNA from 1 species